rnacentral:rRNA from 1 species
GAUGAACGCUGGCGGCGUGCCUAAUACAUGCAAGUCGAGCGAACGGACGAGAAGCUUGCUUCUCUGAUGUUAGCGGCGGACGGGUGAGUAACACGUGGAUAACCUACCUAUAAGACUGGGAUAACUUCGGGAAACCGGAGCUAAUACCGGAUAAUAUUUUGAACCGCAUGGUUCAAAAGUGAAAGACGGUCUUGCUGUCACUUAUAGAUGGAUCCGCGCUGCAUUAGCUAGUUGGUAAGGUAACGGCUUACCAAGGCAACGAUGCAUAGCCGACCUGAGAGGGUGAUCGGCCACACUGGAACUGAGACACGGUCCAGAGUCCUACGGGAGGCAGCAGUAGGGAAUCUUCCGCAAUGGGCGAAAGCCUGACGGAGCAACGCCGCGUGAGUGAUGAAGGUCUUCGGAUCGUAAAACUCUGUUAUUAGGGAAGAACAUAUGUGUAAGUAACUGUGCACAUCUUGACGGUACCUAAUCAGAAAGCCACGGCUAACUACGU